GAUGAACGCUGGCGGCGUGCUUAACACAUGCAAGUCGAACGAUGAACCUCACUUGUGGGGGGAUUAGUGGCGAACGGGUGAGUAACACGUGAGUAACCUGCCCUUGACUCUGGGAUAAGCCUGGGAAACCGGGUCUAAUACUGGAUACGACCUUCUGGCGCAUGCCAUGUUGGUGGAAAGCUUUUGUGGUUUUGGAUGGACUCGCGGCCUAUGAGCUUGUUGGUGGGGUAAUGGCCUACCAAGGCGACGACGGGUAGCCGGCCUGAGAGGGUGACCGGCCAGACUGGGACUGCGAAACGGCACAGACUCCAACGGUAGGCAGCAGUGGGGAAUAGUGCACAAUGGGAGCAAGCCUGAUGGAGCGACGCCGCGUGAGGGAUGAAGGCCUGCGGGUUGUAAACCUCUGUCAGUAGGGAAGAAGCCGGCUAUUGGGUUGGUGACGGUACCUGCAGAAGAAGCGCCGGCUAACUACGUG
rnacentral:rRNA from 1 species